rnacentral:rRNA from 1 species
GACGAACGCUGGCGGCGUGCCUAAUACAUGCAAGUAGAACGCUGAAGGAGGAGCUUGCUUCUCUGGAUGAGUUGCGAACGGGUGAGUAACGCGUAGGUAACCUGCCUGGUAGCGGGGGAUAACUAUUGGAAACGAUAGCUAAUACCGCAUAAUAGUAGAUGUUGCAUGACAUUUGCUUGAAAGGUGCAAUUGCAUCACUACCAGAUGGACCUGCGUUGUAUUAGCUAGUUGGUGGGGUAACGGCUCACCAAGGCGACGAUACAUAGCCGACCUGAGAGGGUGAUCGGCCACACUGGGACUGAGACACGGCCCAGACUCCUACGGGAGGCAGCAGUAGGGAAUCUUCGGCAAUGGACGGAAGUCUGACCGAGCAGCGCCGCGUGAGUGAAGAAGGUUUUCGGAUCGUAAAGCUCUGUUGUAAGAGAAGAACGAGUGUGAGAGUGGAAAGUUCACACUGUGACGGUAUCUUACCAGAAAGGACG